CAAACGACUGUGAUAAGGAAUAGUAGCGACUGAAUUUUUUGUAGAGAGUUAGCGGAUGGUGAAAGCUAAUAAAAGGACAGCGUGAACUCGCCUUGGAGUCUGCGAGUGGUGAAAGUAAGUAACUAUUUGCCGUUUUCCGCGUUAAGGAACUUAAGUUGAGUGGAUACACUAAAUUGGGUGGUACCGCGGGAGCUGCAUUUUCUCUCGUCCCUUUU
rnacentral:ncRNA from 1 species